UGUAAUCGGCCAUUAGAACUUCCUCGCUGCCCUUUUCUUUAGUUGUCUCUCAAUUACUUCUCUCACGUCCAAAACCAUCAAAGCCAGAAUUUGUUGUUUCUUUUCUCUCCAAAAAAGCUUCCUCUCCCAAAUCACUGCUGCAUCCGUCUUCAAAAGCUUCUUCUCUUGUAAAGUUUCGAUCCAUUCUCUCAAUUCGCGUGCUAUUAUAUUAGACACCGACGCGGCUUUGCCGCCGUGCGCCGCCACAGUCCAGCCAAGCUAGGCUAGCGCACCACCACCGUUCAAUUAGUCUCCUCCUCCUCCUCUACAAACCCACAAAUUGCAUGUGGGAUUAAAAGAAUUCUUCAUCGGAUGGGUCACUAUUGGUGCUAGCUAGGAUAAAUAACAAUGUUUUGUUGGAAAGCAUUCUAUGCCAUGGGCAUGUACGUGGUUCCUGAUUGAUAUGGAGAAAUCAGCUGUUUCAGGAUGACUGUGACUUCACUUAGUUGCAUCUGUCGAUUCCAAUAUGUAAACAGAAUUAGAGUUCGUGUUAAUCGUUCUUGGAGAUCAAAGAGGUAUCAGAACAAUGCUUUUGAUGGAAUGCACUAUUUUCUUAUUGAUGAGAAGAGUGAUUCAAUCCAUGUUGUUGUUGAUGAACAUGAUUAUGCUCACACUACCACUAUGAAGGAUGGUUGUCUUUAUGACAUUUUUCAUGUCCAUGUAAAAUCUUCCAGUAAUGGAUAUAAGGUUGUGGAUAAUGAUGUUGAGAUCGGAUUUAAUGAGAUGUUUAAGAUUGUUUUGCUGAAAGAUGAUUCAUGUCCAAUCCUGAAAUAUAUUUGUCACUUUCUUCCUUUCUCUGAGGUUGAAAAGUGUUUCAAUGAUCAGCAGAAGUUGGAAUGUGAGAAGAAAAUAGUCCUCUUGGCUGGUUCAACAAGCCCGGUGACAAAGCUAUUGUUGGGCAGACCUUCUCUAGAAUUAAUAAGGAUGAAUCAUGGAAAACAAUCAUGGAUCUUCGUAUGCUAGAUCCAUCUAAGUAUAAGAUGUAAUUGGAAGGGUGGUCUAUGUGUACAAACUUGAAAAAACAGGAUUAGAUGCCAACAAGAGGGCAAGGCGAUAUGUCCAGUUAGAGAAUCAAAGGUGGUGGCUCAAAUCAUGUAUAUUUAUAAAAUUGGUCACAUUUGCUUCUCUCAUACUGUUGAGCAGGAACCAAAAUCUAAUGUUGUCUUUAUGGGGAGACCUUGCCAAUGAUAUCAGUGCAGAUUCUAUUAACAAAAGCGACUUUCGUCCGGUUGUAGCUGCAUUUACCCCUGUUGUUGUUACUGGAAGCCAAAAUGGUUUACAGCUCCAUUCUAUUUCUGAUACAUACAUUUUUAUCAAUCCAAUGGUUAAAGAGAUUCAUAAGUUGAGAAUAAGAAAUCAUGAAAACUUGCUGGAUUCAGGUCGAUCUGAUGCAACAAUAUUUGAUAUUUCGAUUGCAUGUUACCAAUUUAGUAUAGUUGCAAUGAUCGACAAAAUAGAGUUUGAGAAUGGUUGGUAUUACAUGACCUGUAGUACAUGUAACAGGGAAGUGCCUAAGCAAAUGGGUACUCAUCUCAUUAGCUGUGAGCGCGAUGGAGAGAGCACUGGAAUUCCAAUCUACGGAGUAAAUGUCACACUCAAAGAUCAAACCAAUGACAUUGAAGUUGUACCCAGGGGUAGUGCAGCGCAAUCAUUGUUUGGCACAGACUGUGAGAGUUUAGUUGAGAUGGAAGGAUGUGGUGAUAUGUAGUGUCUUCCUCAACUUAUAUGUAAUCAGCUCCUCAGAACUUUUACCUGACGAAUUGGAUUUGAAAUUAACAAGGGGCUGAUAGUGGAAUCAGUAAAGAAGAACAAUGAUAAAGUGCCUAAAGGGACUGCUGAAAUGGAGAAACUAAUAACAAUAGAAGAAAUCAAGAAGAUAAUCUCCUUUGAAAAUCAAAAAAUAACACCCAGUAAUAUAGGAAAUGAUAAGGAAUCCAUAGAAAUGCACAGCACUGUGGCCCAUUUGGUUCUUGGUGGCAUUCAUGCAUCAGGGGAGAAACAGAAUGACAAUUAUAGAAAACACAAGUUUGCCUGCAUCAUCUGCAGAUAAGAGGAGUAGAAGAUAUCUGCAUAUACAAGAUGGCAACCAAUUAGGGCUCAACAUCAGCACCAGAGAAUCAUACUGCCGAUUGAAGAAUUGAUGAUGCACAUCAAUUUUUUUUUGAAUAUCACUACCAUCUGGGUAGCCUGAAUGUAGAUAUAACUUAGGAAGUUCUAAUGCACACUAUUAUGAAGUAGAUGCGAAGAAAAAGGGGAUCUCUUGGCUUCAUUUUUUGAAAGGUCCUCCAGCAAUACCAUUUUUGUUCAGAUCAACAGUAUUUCAUGCAAAUCUCAAAUUGAUCAAGACUCCUUUUGGAAUGUAUUCAUUAACUUCUAAUUGUAAGUAUAAGUUGUUGGAUAAUACCUAUAUGAUGAAACGCAGUUGCAAUGUAAUACCAUGUAAACAGUGGAGUCUAAUGUAUUGUUUAUAUAUACUCUGUUUAAUGCUAUUAGUUAAAUUUGGCUUU